rnacentral:lncRNA from 1 species
CUUCGCCUGGCACCUCCCCCGGCUCCGCCCCGCGGGAGUGUUUGCCCACGUUCUAGAGCGCUGAUUGGCCCUUCGGCUCAGGGGGCGGAGCUCGCGGCAGGCGCGGUGCGUACUUCCGGCCGCCGGGUUGACCUGAGGAAGCAGCGGCGGGGGCGGCGGAAGCGGCUGAGGUCUGCCUUUGCAGCGGGACCUGCGGCUGAACGCUGGACGCGGCCCGGGACGGCAGACGGCGCAGUGAGCCGCGGAGGAGGCGCGGCAGCAGCCCGCGUUCCUCAUGGAGAUGGAAAGGGAGUUCAGCAGAUCGACGAGGCCGGGCACUGGGCGGCCGUUUACCAGUCUCAGUGCGUGUCGAGUCCCAAGAACGGCAGAGUCCCGGUCCCCCUUCCUGUUCAUUCAUUUGAUGAUGGGAAUUGGCGUGUCGCUGCGGAGCUUGGUACUGCCCUGGGCGCUGGAGAGUGUUGAAUCCUAUUAUCCUUCACGGAGCUUGGAGUCGAAUAAGCGGUCCGGCAAACACAAGUAAUUUCAGAUGGUGACAGGCCUUGUGAAGAAAAGAAAACGUUGCAGCGGGGUAGAGAGCCGCUGGAUGGAAGGUGGGUUACCUGUGUGAGGGGCAUCGCCCACGGUUUGUCAGAGGAGGAGACGUUUGCUCUGAGCAGAGUGAGGAGGAGCAGCAAACCAUAAGACUGUCAGGCCAGAGUUUUCCUACGAGGAGGCCUGCAAUACCUCCCUCCUUCGUGGCUAAAAUAUUGCCCUUUCAGUCAGGGACUAUGGAACCUUAACGUUUUAUCCUCAGUAAAUCGCGUCUUUCCCCAGCUUUGCUCUUUGGUCUUGGCUGAGAUCUAUCUUUGAGUCCUCAUCUACUUUGGAUUGUGGUGGGACAUAAAUUAAAAAUAAGCAAGGUAGGGUUUCUCGCAUAUCUCCAAAGCAUCAGAUUAAAUACCCCAGUAGGUCUGUUUUCAGGAAGCUAAAUCCUCUAAAGAAAAUAUGUGCUCCCGAUUAAAUGUCAUGCGGGGGUUGUGAGGAUUAACCAAAACCACACUCUCUAUCUUAAGUAAAGAACAGAAUAGAGA